rnacentral:rRNA from 1 species
GUCCACGCCCUAAACGAUGUCAACUAGCUGUUGGGCCUUCGGGCCUUAGUAGCGCAGCUAACGCGUGAAGUUGACCGCCUUGGGAGUACGGUCGCAAGAUUAAAACUCAAAGGAAUUGACGGGGACCCGCACAAGCGGUGGAUGAUGUGGAUUAAUUCGAUGCAACGCGAAAACCUUACCUACCCUUGACAUGUCUGGAAUCCCGAAGAGAUUUGGGAGUGCUCGCAAGAGAACCGGAACACAGGUGCUGCAUGGCUGUCGU